rnacentral:rRNA from 1 species
AUCAAUAAGCGGAGGAAAAGAAACCAACAGUGGAUUGCCCUAGUAACGGCGAGUGAAGCGGCAACAGCUCAAAUUUGAAAGCUGGCCUUCGGGUCCGCAUUGUAAUUUGUAGAGGAUGCUUUGGGUAAAACGCCAGUCUAAGUUCCUUGGAACAGGACGUCAUAGAGGGUGAGAAUCCCGUAUGUGACUGGAAAUGUUAACCUAUGUAAAGCUCCUUCGACGAGUCGAGUUGUUUGGGAAUGCAGCUCUAAAUGGGAGGUAAAUUUCUUCUAAAGCUAAAUAUUGGCGAGAGACCGAUAGCGCACAAGUAGAGUGAUCGAAAGAUGAAAAGCACUUUGGAAAGAGAGUUAAAAAGCACGUGAAAUUGUUGAAAGGGAAGCGCUUGCAAUCAGACUUGUUUAAACUGUUCGGCCGGUCUUCUGACCGGUUUACUCAGUUUGGACAGGCCAGCAUCAGUUUCGGCGGCCGGAUAAAGGCUCUGGGAAUGUGGCCUCCACUUCGGUGGAGGUGUUAUAGCCCAGUGUGUAAUACGGCCAGCCGGGACUGAGGUCCGCGCUUCGGCUAGGAUGCUGGCGUAAUGSUAUGUACGAGCGAU